rnacentral:rRNA from 1 species
GCCAGACUCCUACGGGAGGCAGCAGUGGGGGAUAUUGCACAAUGGGGGGAACCCUGAUGCAGCGACGCCGCGUGGGUGAAGAAGUAUUUCGGUAUGUAAAGCCCUAUCGGCAGGGAAGAAAUUGGACGGUACCUGACUAAGAAGCCCCGGCUAACUACGUGCCAGCAGCCGCGGUAAUACGUAGGGGGCAAGCGUUAUCCGGAUUCACUGGGUGUAAAGGGAGCGUAGACGGCCAUGCAAGCCUGGAGUGAAAGCCCGGGGCCCAACCCCGGGACUGCUCUGGGAACUGUGCGGCUGGAGUGCGGGAGGGGCAGGCGGAAUUCCUGGUGUAGCGGUGAAAUGCGUAGAUAUCAGGAGGAACACCGGCGGCGAAGGCGGCCUGCUGGACCGCGACUGACGUUGAGGCUCGAAAGCGUGGGGAGCAAACAGGAUUAGAUACCCUGGUACCC